UGAGGAAUAUUGGUCAAUGGCCGAGAGGCUGAACCAGCCAAGUAGCGUGAAGGAUGACGGCCCUACGGGUUGUAAACUUCUUUUAUAAGGGAAUAAAGGGCGCCACGCGUGGUGUUUUGCAUGUACCUUAUGAAUAAGCAUCGGCUAACUCCGUGCCAGCAGCCGCGGUAAUACGGAGGAUGCGAGCGUUAUCCGGAUUUAUUGGGUUUAAAGGGAGCGCAGGCGGGCGAUUAAGUCAGUUGUGAAAUGCCACGGCUCAACCGUGGACUUGCAGUUGAUACUGGUUGCCUUGAGUGCGGCAGAGGCAGGCGGAAUUCGUGGUGUAGCGGUGAAAUGCUUAGAUAUCACGAAGAACUCCGAUUGCGAAGGCAGCUUGCUGGACCGUUACUGACGCUGAGGCUCGAAAGUGCGGGUAUCAAACAGG
rnacentral:rRNA from 1 species